rnacentral:rRNA from 1 species
ACUGCUCAGUAACACGUGGCUAAUCUGCCCUUAGGACGAGAACAACCCCGGGAAACUGGGGCUAAUUCUCGAUAGGUGAAGAACUCUGGAAUGAGUCUUCGCCCAAAAAGCUUCACGUUAUGCGCGUGAGGUCGCCUAAGGAUGAGGCCGCGACCGAUCAGGUUGUUGGUGAGGUAAUGGCUCACCAAGCCUUUUACCGGUGCGGGCCGUGAGAGCGGGAGCCCGGAGAUGGGCACUGAGACAAGGGCCCAGGCCCUACGGGGCGCAGCAGUCGCGAAAACUUUGCAAUACACGAAAGUGUGACAGGGCUAUCCCGAGUGCCAUCCGCUGAGGAAGGCUUUUACCCAGUCUAGAACGCUGGGGGAAUAAGGAGAGGGCAAGUCUGGUGUCAGCCGCCGCGGUAAUACCAGCUCUCCGAGUGGUGUGGAUGUUUAUUGGGCCUAAAGCAUCCGUAGCUGGCUAAGUUAGUCCCUUGUUAAAUCCACCGAAUUAAUCGUUGGAUUGCGGGGGAUACUGCUUGGCUAGGGGACGAGAGAGGCAGACGGUAUUUCCGGGGUAGGGGUGAAAUCCUAUAAUCCCGGGAAGACCACCAGUGGCGAAGGCUGUCUGCUAGAACGCGCCCGACGGUGAGGGAUGAAAGCUGGGGGAGCGAACCGGAUUAGAUACCCGGGUAGUCCCAGCUGUAAACGAUGCAGGCUAGGUGUUUGGACGGCCACGUGCCGUUCUAGUGCCGCAGGGAAGCUGUUAAGCCUGCCGCCUGGGGAGUACGAUCGCAAGAUUGAAACUUAAAGGAAUUGGCGGGGGAG